UGCUUCCCGUCCACCCAAUAAAUCCCCGUUUGUCCAACUUUGCCUGCCUCCAGCCUGCUUCCCUGCUUGUUCGCCUUCCCCGUCUUCGACAGAUCGUGACAUAUAUAUAAACGGAAGAAUCAAAGUUGCGAUGCAAAAUUAAAAAAUAAAAGCAGAGCAGAUACUUUGUGAAUCUAGGUGCUAAGCUGACUUCCAGUGCAUACAGAUACACCCGGAACGGCUUCCUUUGGAGGAAUCGGCCAAUGCUGUCUGAUUAAGCACAAACAAAAUGAGGAACUGCACUGAGGGGAACACAUGAGAUCUGAUGGCAGAAGCCAAGAUGUCGCAUGUACAUCCAUCCCUGGUGGAGAUGAUUUUGAGAAUGUGUGAUACGAUUAUCACCUGAUUCAGGAUUUUAUUUGUCACAUGCAGAUAAAUUGUAAAACUUGCAGGGAAAUGUAAAUAACAUUGUUUUUAAAGAUUAAAUGAAACUUCAGAGGUUAAAGGUUAGUUAAAAACAAAGGCUAAAUAGAAGAUAAGCUAUAUAAAUACUAUACAAAAGAAAAUGUAUUAGUGGCAGUACAGUAUAUACAGUGUACAUGGUAAUAUAUGCAUGUUAUGCAGUGUGUGACUGGCAGUAUAUGCAGUGUGCAUGGUAGGCAGUGUGUGCAUGGCAAUAUAUACGUUGUGCAUGGCAGGCAGUAUAUACAGUGUGCAUAGCAGGCAGUGUAUGCAUGGCAGUAUAUUCAGUGUGCAUGCUAGGCAGUGUAUGCAUGGCAGUAUAUUCAGUGUGCAUGCUAGGCAGUGUAUGCAUGGCAGUAUAUUCAGUAUGCAUGGUAGGCAGUGUGUGAAUGGCAGCAUAUACAGUGUACAUGGCAGCCAGUGUGUGACUGGCAGUAUGCACAGUGUGCAUGGUAGACAGUGUGCAAAGAGCAGUACUGUAUACACAGGCAUGAAAAAAACAGCAAUAAUAUUGGUAACUGACACAUGAGACAUGAUACAGUGACAAGGCAUUAAUAAUUGCCAAUCAGUUCUAAAAAAUUACCCUGUGUCCCCCAUGAAUCCAUAAUCCAGAGGUUGUGCUGGCAUGUAAGUGAGGGUGGUCCGA